rnacentral:lncRNA from 1 species
CCAUGAAUGGACCAUAAUAAUAUGUAUGUGCUAUAUAAAAUCUCAUGUCAUAUCGAUGACAUAUAUUACUUUCACAAAGUGAAGGAUUAUUUUGAGAAUCCUUAUUAUCUUCAUUAUCACAAUGAUGACGAUCAUAAUUUCGUCUAUUGCCACGUCCACAUCCAUUGAUACCUUCACGAUAAUAAUUUUGUCUUCUUUCAGACNNNNNNNUUCGUCUAUUGCCACGUCCACAUCCAUUGAUACCUUCACGGUAAUAAUUUUGUCUUCUUUCAGACUUAUCACAUACUGCUAUCACAUUCU